ACGAACGCUGGCGGCAUGCCUAACACAUGCAAGUCGCACGAGACCUUCGGGUCUAGUGGCGCACGGGUGCGUAACGCGUGGGAAUCUGCCCUUCGGUUGGGAAUAACUGAGAGAAAUUUCAGCUAAUACCUUAUAAUGUCUUCGGACCAAAGAUUUAUCGCCGAGGGGUGAGCCCGCGUAGGAUUAGGUAGUUGGUGGGGUAAUGGCCUACCAAGCCGACGAUCCUUAGCUGGUCUGAGAGGAUGAUCAGCCACACUGGGACUGAGACACGGCCCAGACUCCUACGGGAGGCAGCAGUGGGGAAUAUUGGACAAUGGGCGAAAGCCUGAUCCAGCAAUGCCGCGUGAGUGAUGAAGGCCUUAGGGUUGUAAAGCUCUUUUACCCGGGAUGAUAAUGACAGUACCGGGAGAAUAAGCUCCGGCUAACUCCGUG
rnacentral:rRNA from 1 species